rnacentral:rRNA from 1 species
CCCUUAGAUGUCCUGGGCUGCACGCGCGCUACACUGAUGUGUCCAGUAAGCACCUAACCUCUUCCGAAAGGAACGGGUAACCUUUGCAAAGCACAUCGUGAUGGGGAUAGAUUAUUGCAAUUAUUAGUCUUGAACGAGGAAUUCCUAGUAAGCACAAGUCAUCAGCUUGUGUUGAUUACGUCCCUGCCCUUUGUACACACCGCCCGUCGCUCCUACCGAUGAAUCGUCCGGUGAAGUUCACAGAGUGGCGGUUCGUGGAGUUGCUCGCGAAGUGAAAUGGACCUCACGAUUUAGAGGAAGGAGAAGUCGUAACA